CCUCUCUCUCUCCUUCUCACAAUCCAAAUCACAAUUAGAACUACUGAUCAAUUAUAAACUUCUUCAUAAUUCUCAGUGUUUACAUUGGGUUUUUCAGUACAUUUCUCAUCAGGAGAACUUACAUGUGUUCAUCCAAAAUUCAGACAAUAGAUACUUAAGUAAAUUGCAUUUGUGUGAUCUUUAAGGUACAUCCUUUUUAACCUGUGAAGAACCUACAAAAAAAAAGUAGAAAAACUCACACAAUAAACCAGACACGGUUUUAACACCACUAACAAAUAUGUAUUUGUAUAGACAGGUGGUGUGUGUGUGUAUGCAGAUGUGUGUUUGGUAAAACAUAGGGCAAAAACAAACAAAUGGCCAGGCCUUAUGUCACGACUUCCGCCGAAGUCGGUGCCUCUCCUUGUUCGGGCGGCGUUUGGCAGUCGACGUCACCGGCUUUCUAGCCAUCGCCGAUCCACUUUUCAUUUUCCAUUUGUUUUGUCUUGAUUGUACACACCUGGUUUCCAUUACAUUAUAAUUUAUUCCCAAUUUAACCCUCUGGUUCCCACAUGGUUUUGUGCGUGUUUGUUCUUUGUUAAGUGGUCGCUCUUUUGUGUAGAGCUGGAUUGUAUUCCCUGUAUGGAAUUAGUUUGUGUUUUAUUUCGAGUAAAGUACGUUUUUACACAGUUCUGUGUCCUGCGCCUGACUCCGUCCUACCCGCUGCACACAGACACUUGACAGAAACACGCACCUAAACACGCACCUCCGUUACCAGUGGAGGAGCAUGUCCAGCAGCACGCGACAAUGCUCCAAAAUCUGGGCACAGCCAUGGAUCGCGUGCUGCACACCAUGGAGCGAAGGAAGAGAGGGGGUUUUCCCACACCUCCAUCCACUUCACCCCAACCCACACCGCUGUUCACUCCUCCGUCACAUGGACCCAGUGGGAUUCGGCUCUCGCUCCCGAGGGCGUAUGAUGGGACGGCUGCCAGGGGUUCCUGCUCCAGUUGGAGCUCUACCUGGCGACCGUCCACCCGGCUCCCUCGGGAUACGAGAGCGUGUCCGCCCUCAUCUCCUGUUUGUCGGGGAGAGCACUUGAGUGGGCCAAUGCCGUAUGGGGGAUAGAAGGCACAGCGUUGGUCCACUACGAGGAUUUCACCCACCGCUUCCGGGCGGUAUUCGAUCAUCCACCUGAGGGGAGAGCGGCGGGGGAAUAGUUGUUCCAUCUUCGACAGGGGAUGAGGAGCGCACUGGACUUCAGGACCCUGGCAGCCAGCGCGGGACGGAAUGAAGGGGCCCUGAUCGACCAUUACCGGUGCGGUCUACGUGAGGACAUUCGUCGGGAGCUGGCAUGCAGGGACACCACCCUUACCCUCGACCAGCUGGUUGAUUUAUCCAUCUGGCUGGAUAACCUAUUGGCCACCUGCGGACGUCCGGAUCGGGGCUCGUCCAUUCCAUCCCCCAGCACCUCCGACCCUACACCUAUGGAGCUCGGAGGUGCUGCUCUGAGGGUGACCGGAGGGGGGGCCGUUUCCUGCACCACAUGUGGCCACAGAGGGCACACUGCUGAUCGGUGCUGGGGAGGUUCCCCAGGGAGUCGAGGCAGCAGGCAGGGCACUGGUGGAUCAUCCCAGGUGAGUAGGCACCCGACUCACCCAGAGCUUCCUGUUGCGCACGUGUGUGUAUAGAAUUUCCUGAGUUUUCCCUGCAUUCCCAGCAUAAAGCGCUAGUAGAUUCAGGUGCAGUUGGGAACUUUAUUGACCGUUCAUUUGCACUUAGAUUAGGGAUCCCUAUUGUUCCUGAUGAUGUGCCCUUCCCUGUACAUGCCUUAGAUAGUCGUCCGUUAGGGUCGGGGCUGAUUAGGGAGGUCACAGCUCCCCUAUGUAUGAUAACGCAGGAGGGUCAUGAGGAGAGAAUUAGUCUCUUCCUGAUCGAUUCUCCUGCGUUUCCUGUGGUGUUGGGCCUUCCCUGGUUGACCUAUCAUGACCCCAAUAUUUCGUAGCAACAGAGGCCUCUCAAGGGAUGGUCACGUUAGUGCUCAGGGAGGUGUGUACCGUAGGUGUUGCCAUAGGUGCAACUACAGUGGAGAGUCCAAACCAGGUCUCCACCAUGCACAUCCCCCCUGAAUAUGCCGAUUUGGCUCUCGCCUUCUGUAAGAAGACUCAACUACCACCCCAUCGACGGGGGCAUUGUGCGAUAAAUCUCCUGGUAGACGCAGCACUUCCCAGGAGUCACGUGUAUCCUCUGUCACAGGAGGAGACGGUGGCUAUGGAAACAUAUGUCUCCGAAUCUCUAGGACAGGGAUACAUUCGGCCUUCCACUUCACCUGCCUCCUCAAGUUUAUUUUUUGUGAAGAAGAUAGAUGAAGGUUUACGCCCGUGUAUUGACUAUCGAGGUAUAAAUCAGAUCACGGUGAAGUACAGUUACCCGCUGCCACUCAUAGCCAGUGUGACAGACAUUGCACGGGGCGCGCUUCUUCACAAAAUUGGAUCUCAGGAGCGCUUACAACCUGGUGUUUAUCCGGGAAGGGGAUGAGUGGAAGACGGCAUUUAGUACCACCUCUGGGCACUAUGAGUACCUCGUCAUACCGUACGGGUUGAUGAAUGCUCCAUCAGUAUUCCAAUCCUUUGUAGAUGAGAUUUUCAGGGACCUGCACGGGCAGGGCGUAGUGGUGUAUAUAGAUGACAUUCUAAUGUACCCCGCUACACGCGCCGAGCAUGUGUCCCUGGUGUGCAGGGUGCUUGGUCGACUGUUGGAGCAUGACCUGUACGUCAAGGCUGAGAAAUGUCUGUUCUUCCAACAGUCCGUCUCCUUCCUAGGGUACCGCCUUUCCGCGUCAGGAGUGGAGAUGGAACAUGACCGCAUUGCAGCCGUGCGUAAUUGGCCGACUCCAACCACGGCUCCUGGAGCUCUUCAUACCUGAUGUUAUGGCUGCUGCAACAACAGGAUAGAACAGAAUCUGGUGUUGAGGUGAAUGCUGUGAGGAAGAGCCGUCGGUAUGAGGUAGAGCUUCCUGGACACAGUCUGGAGAUGAUCCUAUUGAGAUGGAGCCUAGAUGAGGUAUAUUCACAGCUGCCACCCCAGCCUGAAAUGGGACCACCGCUGUUGUGAGGAGAUUUGAAGAUAUUAAAG
rnacentral:lncRNA from 1 species